AUUGAACGCUGGCGGCAGGCCUAACACAUGCAAGUCGAGCGGGGGUAGCAAUACUCUAGCGGCGAACGGGUGAGGAAUGCUUGGGAAUCUGCCUGGUAGUGGGGGAUAACGUUCCGAAAGGAACGCUAAUACCGCAUACGUCCUACGGGAGAAAGGGGGGGAUCUUCGGACCUCUCGCUAUCAGAUGAGCCCAAGCGGGAUUAGCUAGUUGGUGAGGUAAAGGCUCACCAAGGAGACGAUCCCUAGCUGGUCUGAGAGGAUGAUCAGCCACACUGGAACUGAGACACGGUCCAGACUCCUACGAGAGACAGCAGUGGGGAAUAUUGGACAAUGGGCGAAAGCCUGAUCCAGCCAGGCCGCGUGUGUGAAGAAGGCCUUCGGGUUGUAAAGCACUUUAAGCGAGGAGGAAGGUUCGUCACCUAAUACGUGACGGAAUUGACGUUACUCGCAGAAUAAGCACCGGCUAACUCUGUGCCAGCAGCCGCCGUAAUAC
rnacentral:rRNA from 1 species